rnacentral:lncRNA from 10 species
GUAUCCAUGCACUUCACUACUCACAGCCUGAGAAAAGCAAGAAGGAACUGAAAAGGGAAGCCCGGAAUUUGCUCAAAUCUCAUCUUAACCUUGAUGACAGGCGUUGGUCGAUGCAGAAUUUUUCUCCUCAGUGUUCCAUUGUGUUGCUAGAACAUCUGAAAACUGCCACUGUAAACUUCAUAACCAGCUAUCCGGGUUCAUCCUACAUUUUUGUGCAAGAGGUAGAACCCGUUUUCAUUCAGAGUUUUGCUAAUUACUUGCACCAAAACAGUGAUUUCAAAUGACUAUGUAGGAUGUUGUCUUGGAAGAACAGUUGGUCUAUCUAGUGCUCUCAGUCCUACAGAAUGUAAUACGUGUAUACGGAAACUAUUAUAGAAAGGUGUAUCGUGAAAAAUGUUCAUCCUCCCCUCCUUAGUUUCAUACCUGAGCCACCAUUUUAUAUCGUAGUUGGUUAAGUGCUUUUUGGGUUUUUAUUAACACCAUGCUCCAGCCCUGCUUUUUUGGUUGGUUGGUUGGUUGGUUGGUUCGUUUUUUUG